CGGGACGGGUGAGUAACGCGUGGAUAACCUGCCUCACACUGGGGGAUAACAGUUAGAAAUGGCUGCUAAUACCGCAUAAGCGCACAGUACCGCAUGGUACGGUGUGAAAAACCCAGGUGGUGUGAGAUGGAUCCGCGUCUGAUUAGCCAGUUGGCGGGGUAACGGCCCACCAAAGCGACGAUCAGUAGCCGACCUGAGAGGGCGACCGGCCACAUUGGGACUGAGACACGGUCCAA
rnacentral:rRNA from 1 species